AAUUAAUCAAUCAUAGGAUUGAUGCUCUAAAAGAAUAUCUAUAUUUUUCUUUUUAAAAAUUUCUAAGAAUCUUGAUACUAGCUAAGAAUAUUACUUCAUGUCUUUCUACCAUCAGAAAUGGGCAUGGCAUAUAUAACAAAAAAUAAUCCUUCUUUUGUUGCAUACAUGAAAGUUCUCGCAUCUACUAAUAAAAAUUUGGAUAUAAUAGAUUUUUAUAUUUUUACUUGACUA
rnacentral:lncRNA from 1 species